CGAGAUGUGGGUGAGAAUCCCACAGGCCGUAAACCCAAGGUUUCCAGGGGAAGGUUCGUCCGCCCUGGGUUAGUCGGGACCUAAGCUGAGGCCGAAAGGCGUAGGUGAUGGACAACAGGUUGAUAUUCCUGUACUACCGAUAACCGUUUGAGAGAUGGGAUGACACAGUAGGAUAAGCUAAGCACACUGUUGGUUAUGUGUGCCCAAGCAUUGAGGCAGUCAAAGUAGGUAAAUCCGCUUUGAUAAUGCUGGGAUGUGAUGGGGAGCGAAAUUUAGUAGCGAAGUAGCUGAUUUCACACUGUCAAGAAAAGUCUCUAUCGAGGUUAAAGGUACCCGUACCGCAAACCGACACAGGUGGG
rnacentral:rRNA from 1 species